rnacentral:lncRNA from 1 species
GGUCGCUUCUCGCAGGCGGCGCGCUUGCUGGGUCACAGUGAGGCGGCUCCGCGCAGGCGCAGCCGGGCGGGCGAGGAGCGGGGAAGCUGACUCAGGGCUGCGGCCGGGGUCCUGCGGGGUAGGAGCGCGAGGCCGGCCUGAGGGAGGAGGCCUAGCGACCCAUCCGGCGCCUCCCGCCCCGGGCACCCGCCCGCGGCCGCGCAUCCUGCGGGCCCCAGGAGGCCUCCAUCUCAAAACAACGUGUUUUUAGGCUCUGCCCAGGCCCGGACUCCCACCUUUCAAGAUGUCUGGAUCAGUGCAGGACCUCCUCCUUGGCCACAUCGCUCUCCUUGGACUGGUUCAAGUGAUUCUCCCACCUCAGCCUCCCAAGUAGGAUUACAGUGUUGACUCACCUGUGGAGUGGUCUGAGCCUGAAUGCCCGGGGCUGUGGCCACCGAGUGAACGGGCUGUGCUAAGGGGAAUUGCCACCUUGGGAAACCUGUGUAGUUGCGGCUUUUCUGAUUAAGUAUCAAUAAAAGUCUGACCUUGUGAAAAAAGCAAACGUGAGUGGCCCUGCUUAUGUUUCACCUUGCGUUGCUCAGUGAUAGUUCUGCAAAGUCGCAGGAAACCUGGAAUCAUCUAAUUAUCGUGAGUGUUGGCACAUGACAGCCUUCUUGCAAUCAAGAAACUACGUGUGGCCAGGAUCUCAUCCACUAUCACAGUUUCAGCUUUCCCCAAACUGGAAUGUGUCUUUGCAGACGCCCAUCCUUAUUAAAGGGCAAAGACUUCUCAUACACCUAGGAUGGAUCUUAUAUUCUUGGCGGGACUGCAGAGAAGGUGCCGUGUCCUGAGUCCUCAUGUCAGGGCACAGGCUUCCAGCCAGUUCUACCUGGGUUAUGUUUAUCUCAAUUCCCUGGUGGUAUUGGUGUCUGCUGGGUUUUGCCAGAAUGAAGACACCGUGUUUUCAUUUGUCAGUUGAUUCGUAUUUUCCAGGAAGACAUUCUGAGAUUACAGCAUUGUCUUAGUCAAGGUGCUGCAGAAGGACAGAACUAAUAGGAUAUAUGUACAUAUGAAAGAAAGUUUAUGAAGAACUGGCUCACACCAUCACAAGGCAAAGUCCCAUGACAGGCCAUCUGCAAGCUGAGGAGCGAGGAAGCCAGCAGUGGCUCAGCCGGAGUCCAACAGCCUCAAACGGAAUCCAACAGUUCAGGCUUCAGUCUGUGGCCAAAUGCCCAGAGACCCCGGAAAGCUACUGGUGUUAGUCCCAGAGCCGGAAGGCCAAAGAACCUGGAGUGUGAUGUCCAAGGGCAGGAGGAAUGGACAGAAGCAUCCAGCAUGGGGUAAAGACGAAAGCCAGAAGACUCAGCAAGCUAGCUUACCUACUUUCUUCUGCCUGCCUUGUUCUAGCCGCGCUGGCAGCCGGUUGGAGGGUGCCCACCCCCACUGAGGGUGGAUCUUCCUCUCCUAGUCCACUGACUCAAAUUUCAGUCUCUCUGGGAGCACCAUCACACCAGAAACAAUACCAGCCAUCUAGCCACCCUUCAGUUCACCAUCACAACCAUUGUCUUAUUCAUGAAACUUCUGCAGACCCACCUUAACCUCCAUCGGUGACUUCUACCUGAAGCCCUCUGAUUGUUGCCCAGUGGUGCUUUUUAAAAUAAUUUCCAUAGUUUCUUCUACACCUUUAGUUGGCAUUCUACUGUAAAGGAGAGAUUUUAUUUUCUUACUCAUUUAUUUGUUAGUUUAUAGUCACCACCAUAUGGAUGCAGAGUUCUGUCUCAUUCACUGGGAAGUAUUCUAUUGCAGUCAUGAUUUAUUUUGAUGUUCACAUCCCAGAGUUGGUGAGUGAGCGCCCCUUCACGCUGGCUCCCGAGUGCUGACGUGUCCCCGUCCUUCUCUGCACUUUUCCUUACCUCCUGGCCUCAGAUAUUCCAGGGUCAUUUGUUCUCUCCCUGCUCCAACCCUGCAGUCAGCCAUCUCCCUAGGGACGUUGGUUCCUUUAUGGAAGGUGGCAUUUAGAAGCCAGGAUUUGGGCUGAGCACUGUGGCUCAUGCUUGUAAUCCCAGCACUUGGGGAGGCCGAAGUGGGCGGAUCGCUGGAGGCCAAGAGUCUGAGACCAGCCUGGCUAACAUGGUGAAACCCUUCCCCGUCUCUACUACAAAUAAAAAAUUAGCUGGGUGUGUUGGCACGUGCCUGUAAUCCCAGUUACUCAGGAGGCUGAAGCACCAGAAUCUCUUGAACCCAGGAGGCCGAGGUUGCAGUGAGCCAAGAUUGCACCACUGCACUACAGCUUGGGUGACAGCGCGAGACACCGUCUCAAAAAGGAUAAUAAUUUAAAAAACAGCAGGAUUUGGGUGAGCAGUGCGCUCAUUGCUUCUGGGCUCUCUCGGUGGACAUAGGCUAGGAAUGUAAGAUGUAUGUGCCUGUGUAUAUACACACGUCUGUAGCUAUGUCUAUGUUGCAUACAUGUGUUUUUCCAAAAACCAAAUCCAUAACCAUGCCUUCAGUUUCAGCCCAACACCUCCGGGCUCUUUCUAGCUUUCUACCUUUCAUGAUUGUGAAUACCUUCUCCAGCAGUGAGAAACCUGGCUCCUUUGUCCUCAGUGGAUUUUCUUAUUUGCUCAAUUUUUUUGUUUUUUGUUUUGUUUUUGUUUUUGAGACAGAGUCUUGUUCUGUCACCCAAGCUGGAGUGCAGUGGCAUAAUCUCGGCUUACCGCAACCUCUGCCUCCUGG